GAUCUGUCCCUCUCAUAUCUCCUUUGUUUGAUUACCCCAAUACAAUACAGGUAUAUGGUAACGGACGGUUUUAUAAUACGUAUAUCCGACCGCAGUCUAUUUAUUUAUCGGCGGAAUUCCGUCGUUCUAAACUGUGAAUACCCCUGCAGACACCUACCCAAACACGCGUGAGAUUGUACUCUGUACCCUCGCUCGUACCCUCGUAAUCCUGGCCGGUUAAUAGAAAUGGCUCCCAAAUACAGGUCGAUAUUUUACAUUUAAAAAUUCCCUUUGAAUUAGCUCCCAAGAAUUUACUAUUAAACUGGCUACCUAUGAUUUUUUUUUUCAAAAGCAUAUUGGUUACACAGUGUUAUUAAUUAUUUAUAAGCUUACUAUGAAGAUGGGUACCCACUACAUACGUAUACAUGUACAAUGUACAAUGUAAAUUACAUAUACAUUCUUACUGCAAUUGAUUAGUAUCAAUGGUAAGCUUUUGGUGAACCAGUGUU